UACGAAGGGGGCAAGCGUUGUUCGGAAUUACUGGGCGUAAAGGGCGCGUAGGCGGCUUGCCAAGUCAGGCGUGAAAUUCCCGGGCUCAACCUGGGGGCUGCGCUUGAUACUGGCUGGCUUGAAUGCGGGAGAGGAUAGUGGAAUUCCCAGUGUAGCGGUGAAAUGCGUAGAUAUUGGGAGGAACACCAGUGGCGAAGGCGGCUACCUGGACCGGUUCUGACGCUGAGGCGCGAAAGCGUGGGUAGCAAACAGG
rnacentral:rRNA from 1 species